rnacentral:tRNA from 1 species
GCCCGGCUAGCUCAAUUGGCAGAGCGUGUGACUUUGUGAGCCUUCCCCUUUCACUCCUCAAUUCAGAUCAAUUCACUAACAGACUCUCAGUAUUGGUUUAUCACAAGGUUGGGGGUUCGACCCCCCCGUCGGGCA